GCUGAGUGGUGGCCAGGAUCCGGGGUGAGGCGUAGGGGGGAAGCGUGGGCCGGAUUUAUGGGGGGUAAAGAUGGGGGAUGCGGCGAAGCAGGUCCGCUGUGAAGACGAGAGGCUCAACGUCGAGAGGGCGGUGGAAGCCGUGUGGCUAGAGGCCGGAAGAGGAGAGUGGAAUUCCCGGUGUAGCGGUGAAAUGCGCAGAUAUCGGGAAGAACACCCGUGGCGAAGGCGGCUCUCUGGGACGGUACUGACGCUGAGACGCGAAAGCGUGGGGAGCGAACAGGAUUAGAUACCCCGGUAGUC
rnacentral:rRNA from 1 species